AGUGCUGUCGUGCAGUGUCAGCUGGUGCCCGUGGGGACGUGCGGUCUGCGCACUCCUUGAUCAGUUCUGUGCUUGCAGUCCCACCCCAUGGUCUGUGUCGGGUGCUUUGGCUGAUGCUGAGGUCAGAAGUGGGAACUUUUUUCAUGACCUCUGAUGAGCAGGAAAACUGCAGCUUGCCCACGGCAGCUCUGUGUCCCUCAGCUCUGCUCCACUCUACAAAGUGAUGUCAUCAUGUGCUGCUUUAGUCCUGAGGUGCCUCCAAUGGCCGCUGUGCCAUCUCAGCUGCUCUUCAGAGCUUCUGCAAAUGAACUCCAUCUCUAUCUCCACAGCAACAACUCACAAACAGAGGCCUAUGACUUCAGCUGAGGAGCAUGCAGCAGGCAUUGAUGAGCUGCCAAGCAACGAAGAUUUGGUUUCAGGGUGGAUGCAGAAGCCAGAUAGUGACAUUUUUCUUGGGUUUUUGUCUGCCCUCCUUCCGGUGAAUUCCCACUGAAGAUAAUUUGGGCUCCGAGAGAAGAAACCCCUCCCCGGGAACUUGUUAUUUCAGUAACAGCUGAGUAAGGCCCAUGGAGGUCUUCAGGCUUCAGACAACCCUUUGGAAGCAAUAAUAACAGCAAGGAAAGAAACAAGAUGGAAAGCAUGGCCCGUGGCCAUCGAUCUACCCAGGCAGUCUGCUGCUGGUGGCACUUCAGCUGGAUGCAAAACCAGCACGAAAAAAAACCACCAAACCACGAUCCAAGUACAAGGUGCCAACAAGUUCAUCUUUAAUUAGCAGUUAAUUAGUUGUUUUGCUCAUUCGUCAGAGCACGAAUGUUUCCCAGCUGUGUAUCUAAACAGUAUUCCUCAGCCUUUCAGGCCUCCCUGUGAUCCCUGCAUCACUGAACAGCCCUGGAGUUCCCUCCAUUCCCCCCGUGGGUGCAGUCCCGCAGCCAUGGGAGCUCUCAGUGGGGGCGAUGCUCUGCGGUGCCUCAGCUCCAGCCCUGCUCUGUGCUCCCUGCCCAGCACUGCAGGGCUUUCCAGUCCUCCUACAUGAGAGAGCAAUGCUUUCUCUGAAGCGUCCUUAGGCAGCGUACCUGCCUGGUGAAGGAUGACUAUUCCUAAAUGGCUUUGCAGUCUUUUGAAAAACCAGUCAUGAAAUAAUUGAGUCAAGCUUUCGUGAAAUAGAUCUUAAUUUUAUUCUAUGGAUGUCAUAGAUCUGAAAUUCUCAAAUGCUGAUGAACUUCCGUACGAACGCUUUAUGAUACUGGAAGUUCCCAGUGCUUGCAGUGCAGUCCUGCAGCGGUGUGGUGUUGGCAUAAGAACAAAUGGGAGGAGAGCGUUAAGAGAAUGUAAAAUAAAGAUAACUCUGAAGUAAAC
ensembl:lncRNA